rnacentral:rRNA from 1 species
GACGAACGCUGGCGGCGUGCUUAACACAUGCAAGUCGAACGGAAAGGCCCUGCUUUUGUGGGGUGCUCGAGUGGCGAACGGGUGAGUAACACGUGAGUAACCUGCCCUUGACUUUGGGAUAACUUCAGGAAACUGGGGCUAAUACCGGAUAGGAGCUCCUGCUGCAUGGUGGGGGUUGGAAAGUUUCGGCGGUUGGGGAUGGACUUGCGGCUUAUCAGCUUGUUGGUGGGGUAGUGGCUUACCAAGGCGUUGACGGGUAGCCGGCCUGAGAGGGUGACCGGCCACAGUGGGACUGAGAUACGGCCCAGACUCCUACGGGAGGCAGCAGUGGGGAAUAGUGCACAAUGGGCGGAAGCCUGAUGCAGCAACUCCGCGUGCGGGAUGACGGCCUUCGGGUUGUAAACCGCUUUCGCCUGUGACGAAGCGUGAGUGACGGUAAUGGGUAAAGAAGCACCGGCUAACUACGUG